rnacentral:rRNA from 1 species
AGCGAACGCUGGCGGCAGGCCUAACACAUGCAAGUCGAACGAACUCUUCGGAGUUAGUGGCGGACGGGUGAGUAACACGUGGGAACGUGCCUUUAGGUUCGGAACAACUCAGGGAAACUUGUGCUAAUACCGAAUGUGCCCUUCGGGGGAAAGAUUUAUCGCCUUUAGAGCGGCCCGCGUCUGAUUAGCUAGUUGGUGAGGUAACGGCUCACCAAGGCGACGAUCAGUAGCUGGUCUGAGAGGAUGACCAGCCACACUGGGACUGAGACACGGCCCAGACUCCUACGGGAGGCAGCAGUGGGGAAUCUUGCGCAAUGGGCGAAAGCCUGACGCAGCCAUGCCGCGUGAAUGAUGAAGGUCUUAGGAUUGUAAAAUUCUUCCACCGGGGACGAUAAUGACGGUACCCGGAGAAGAAGCCCCGGCUAACUUCGUGCCAGCCGCCGCCGUAACAC